rnacentral:rRNA from 1 species
UGGGGAAUAUUGGACAAUGGGCGCAAGCCUGAUCCAGCCAUGCCGCGUGAGUGAUGAAGGCCCUAGGGUUGUAAAGCUCUUUCGCCAGGGACGAUAAUGACGGUACCUGGAUAAGAAGCCCCGGCUAACUUCGUGCCAGCAGCCGCGGUAAUACGAAGGGGGCUAGCGUUGUUCGGAAUCACUGGGCGUAAAGCGCACGUAGGCGGAUCUUUAAGUCAGGGGUGAAAUCCCGAGGCUCAACCUCGGAACUGCCUUUGAUACUGGAGGUCUCGAGUUCGGGGAGAGGUGAGUGGAACUGCGAGUGUAGAGGUGAAAUUCGUAGAUAUUCGCAAGAACACCAGUGGCGAAGGCGGCUCACUGGCCCGAUACUGACGCUGAGGUGCGAAAGCGUGGGGAGCGAACAGGAUUAGAUACCCUGGUAGUCCACGCCGUAAAACGAUGGAUGCUAGCCGUUGGGGGAGCUUGCUCUUCAGUGGCGCAGCUAAACGCUUUAAGCAUCCCGCCUGGGGAGUACGGUCGCAA